rfam:Cavia porcellus supercont2_6 genomic scaffold, whole genome shotgun sequence.
CUGCUAGGCUAAGAGGCUGUUUUAUUACGGUCUUCACUUUAUCAUGAAACC